ACUCGCCAGGGAGAAUGAACGUCAGGCCAGUCUGUUACAGAUCGAUGCGCAAAAAUGAUAAGCCUCAUGAACUCAGAGUAGGGUGAAAUCACAUAAAAUGAUUAUCUGUUGUAUGAAAAGAAGACUAUUUUGGGGGUCUUAUGUAGCUCAUGUGCAGCGGAAGUUGUAAGGAUUCCUAGCUGUUGUGUGUUGGAAUAGUAGCACACACAUAAGCUAACUAACUUUAGCAUUAGCUUAGGUACACGAGAGCCCCAGAGGCUAGUCUGCAAUGACUUCUGAGUGUCGUUAUAGUGUAAGUUUAAACAUAUUUGACUCUGUUAAUGCUAAAGCCAGUUCAUAGACCUGUUCAUUCUGCUCUUUUGCUUCUUUUUACUUCAUUUAAAGAUUGGAACACAGUACAGCUUCCUAUGGGACGUCUGUUGUUGUUGUUUACGUUGCGUUUGUUUGGUUGGUUGGCAUUUAUGUUAAAAAAUUUGCAUCUUAUUUAAUUUAUGACGUUAGGGAAGCAUUACUUUUUGUAAAUCAAGUUUCUUUAUAGUACUAUUACUUAUUAAAAAUAUGCAUCGUGCCCAACAGUCACUGACGUGAUGACUUUACAUUCCCUCGUCUAAGCCUCCUCAAAGUUGUAGUUUGGACGCUUUGUGAUGCUUAAGAAAAGCUUGAAAUCAACACCCAAAGCACAUUGUGCUGCAGAGAUAGUUCUUACUCUGUAGACAACUGCAAGCUUUCAUUUGUAUCUUUGCAAAUAUUGAAAAAAAAAAAAUUCAAUGGAAUUGGAAUGUCAACCCAAAGUACAUUCAUUAAUUUCAUCUUAAUAAAGAACAGACGUGAGGAUACAUCAACUAAGGUUUAAAAAAAUAACCACAUUUUUGUCCUGCACUUCCUUCCAGUCUUUUUUUUUCCACUUGUAGGCAAUUUCUGCUUGCUAAAAAAUUCUGACAUAACCAUGGCAUUGUUUGACAGUUUUUUAUUUAAAUUACAUUUGAAGACUGCUCCUGUGUGGCUGGUACAGUGCUGUGCAAUCAGUGUUGCAUUACAUCACAAGACUGCUCACUACUCUGCUCAGAAUUUGGCUUCUGUGCCACCAGUACUAAGCUGUACUGAAACCGAACAAAUCUGGCACAAACCAACAACCAUGAAGGUUAAACCAGGCCUUGUGCGUCACAUGGUUUUAUGUCUGCAAGACCAGAAUGGCAGCGCACAGUCGGAAAUGGUGUAAGGAGAAAACGUUACAAGGCAGACACACCAGACACUGAUGUUCUCAGAGUAGCAGAGGUGUAUCCGGACUUUACUGCAGACCUUGCACCUCUCAUUACUACCAUGGUAAUCAGUGCUGAUGUCCCUUUAUUUGAUUCAGCAUUUGAUAAAGUCGAGGAAGGCAGUCCAUUCGCUUUUCAACAUUCACUACCAGUCAGUUGGGUAAUAAUUUGCCAUGUGGAUUCCCCCUCCUCUGCCAUCACUGCCUCUUGACCACUACCAUUUCGAGCCCACCUGCCUCCAGUUUGUCUGCAGCCAACAGCAACAACUUGAACUGGAGUGUCUUGCGACAACGCUGGAACAGUCCGGUCAAAUUGAAGUUGCCACCAGGGAGCAGAGCGCAACAUUUCUAGGAAGUCUGUCAUAUGAGAGGAGCCACUUCUGCUUUGAGCUUAGCGCAGCGCAUCAAGAUGGGAACAGCAGCCACAGCCGGCAUGAAAAGGGGCCUAGCACUUAACCCAUCAGCUAUCUGGGAAUACUGCAGGAUCAAAAACACCAACUUUGGGCCCUGUGGGUUUGUGAUUCACCCUGAUGCUCCAUGGUUGGGCUCUUCUCCAGAUGUUGUUGUUUUUGACCUGACAGAGAUGCAAACAUUUGUUUUGUUGGAGUUAAAAUUUUAUUACAUGCUCAUGUAAUAAUGAAAAAAUACACCAAUCUAUGUUGGGAUCUCUGUGAGCUGCAGUGAGAAGUUUUACCGAACCAGGUCAAAGCUAGAGAAACAGCACGUAUGACUGCUGGAUUAUUGUAUGUGUGGAAAAAAUAAAAGUUUUACAGCAAACUGCACCUGCAUGGCUGUUAAGUUUAACAAAAAUACUUGCAAUGCAGUUGCUGUUACACUUGUUCUGUUCUGAGGUAAUUUGUUGUAUUGCUAUUGGGUAAAAGUAUAAAAUAUUUUAUGUUUUCACUUUUAUAUUGCAGACAAGCAAGACUAUUUAAAAAUCAAAGUUUUCAAAGUCAAGUCUUAAGUGUCUUGACCUUAAGUCCAAGUCUCAUUACAUGUAUCACUUGUUUGAUCAAAACUAUUCCAACUAUAUUGUAUUUUUUUAUAUAACACUAUGUUUUGAACAAAUAUAAAUAAUUAAAGUUGUCAAGGUUUGUUUAUUGGUGAACUCAGGAAGCGCACAUGGGACUAAAGUUUAAGGGUUUUAUUAUAAGAAGUGUGCUGGAUGACGGAUGAUGAUGACCGGAGGUUCCAGACUACAGAAAGUCAGGGAUGAAGGUGAUGGCAGGAGCUGACGGCCCGGAGUGAGAGUCCAUAAAAGCUGGGUGGCUAGGAAAGCGAAGUGCUGCUUGGUUAGCAGGCCUCGUAGCAACACCAGGGCACAGAGCGGAGCUUCUCUAGGGCGGCUAGUCAGGUAGCAGAUC